UCAACUUGAGAGUUUGAUCCUGGCUCAGAACGAACGCUGGCGGCAGGCCUAACACAUGCAAGUCGAGCGCACCUUCGGGUGAGCGGCGGACGGGUUAGUAACGCGUGGGAACAUACCCUUUUCUACGGAAUAGCCUCGGGAAACUGAGAGUAAUACCGUAUAAGCCCUUCGGGGGAAAGAUUUAUCGGGAAAGGAUUGGCCCGCGUUAGAUUAGAUAGUUGGUGGGGUAAUGGCCUACCAAGUCUACGAUCUAUAGCUGGUUUUAGAGGAUGAUCAGCAACACUGGGACUGAGACACGGCCC
rnacentral:rRNA from 1 species